CACGUGAAACCUUAAAUUAGAGUGAAUAAAUGAAGACGCAGCACACCACUUCUGAAAGGUUGCCGACCCCUGGUGUAUUCAGACUACCCAGUUUUCAAAUAUUAAUAUUUAUUAAUGUGUUUUUUAUAAAAAGUAAAGCACCAGAUUCACAUUGUAGAUCAAAGGUCUGUGAAAUUUUAUUUUUAAAAAUGAAUGUUGGAAAAGUGCAAAUAAGGCUUCCAGAGUUGAUAAAAUGGGUGUACUUUUGUGCCCCUAAAACUUUUUGAAUAGUCUAAAUGGAUGUUUUAAAAAUAUAAAAAAGAAAAAUAUCACUCUUUUUAGCUAAGAGCAAUUUUUUGCUGGCUUGAGUUAUAACCCCCUGAAAAUAGGGGUUUAGAAUGGAAGUGCUGACACAGCCUAAACUAUAGAGCAGUGUCCUUCGUGCUGCUGUAAUAAUUGCCCGGACAGUGUUUUCUGCUUUCCUAUUACUGUGCUUUGUUUCUCUCUAAUUCACUAUUUUUUAAACUUUUUGAGAAGUUUGAUAUUAUUUAGAGCACACAAAGUGCGUGGAAUAACCUGAGGAGUAAAAUUGUUCGGCAGCAUGGACUUGUUAAUCUCAGCCUGAUCUUGUCAGUAACAGCAGAGCAGAGGGAGAGGGAGAGGAACUCCGGCUGGGGCAGCGCUCCAAAGAUUGGAGAUUAAAGAGAAAAGGAUUACAGAAUGUAGAGGAAUUUUUUUAGCAGAAGACCUGUAGCCUUGCCCUGGGAAUUAACAUUGAAGAGGCUUUUAAGGAGGGGCAGGACUGAGGUAAACAUUUUG